CCAAUGAGGACAAAGGCAGUACACUGAAGAGUCGGGCUUCCAUUCCAGGAGCCAGGUAUGGUGGCAUGCAGUUGUAGACCCAAUUACCCAAGAGGCUGAGGCAGGAGGAUUACUUGAGCCCAGGAGUUGGAGGCUACAGGGAGCUCAGAUCACACCACUGCACUCCAGCCAGGAUGAUAGAGCGAGAACCUGUCUUUAAAGAAAAGAAUAAAUCAAAUAAAAAAUUUUAAAAUGUUUAAUAU
rnacentral:lncRNA from 13 species